rnacentral:rRNA from 1 species
CGCGUAGGCGGUAUCUUAAGUCAGAGGUGAAACUGUGGGCUCAACCCACAGCCUGCCUUUGAAACUGGGAGACUUGAGGGCAGGAGAGGGGAGUGGAAUUCCCAGUGUAGCGGUGAAAUGCGUAGAUAUUGGGAGGAACACCAGUGGCGAAGGCGGCUCUCUGGCCUGUUUCUGACGCUGAGGCGCGAAAGCGUGGGGAGCAAACG